rnacentral:tRNA from 1 species
AGUAAGAUGGCUGAGGCACUAUAAGCGGAAGACUGUAAAUCUUCUCACGGGUUCAUACCCUCUUACUU